GCCUGGGUGGCUCAAUCGGUUGAGCGCCUGACUUCGGCUCAGGUCGUGAUCUCAUGGUUUGUGAGUUCGAGCCCCGCAUUGGGCU
rnacentral:tRNA from 1 species